CUUAUAGAUGGGCCCGCGGCGCAUUAGCUAGUUGGUGAGGUAAUGGCUCACCAAGGCGACGAUGCGUAGCCGACCUGAGAGGGUGAUCGGCCACACUGGGACUGAGACACGGCCCAGACUCCUACGGGAGGCAGCAGUAGGGAAUCUUCCGCAAUGGACGAAAGUCUGACGGAGCAACGCCGCGUGAACGAAGAAGGCCUUCGGGUCGUAAAGUUCUGUUGUUAGGGAAGAACAAGUACCAGAGUAACUGCUGGUACCUUGACGGUACCUAACCAGAAAGCCACGGCUAACUACGUGCCAGCAGCCGCGGUAAUACGUAGGUGGCAAGCGUUGUCCGGAAUUAUUGGGCGUAAAGCGCGCGCAGGUGGUUCCUUAAGUCUGAUGUGAAAGCCCACGGCUCAACCGUGGAGGGUCAUUGGAAACUG
rnacentral:rRNA from 2 species